rnacentral:rRNA from 1 species
AGUGAAUGCUGGCGGUAGGCCUAACACAUGCAAGUCGAACGGCGGCACAGUAAGAGCUUGCUCUUACGGGUGGCGAGUGGCGGACGGGUGAGGGAUACAUCGGAAUCUACUUUUUCGUGGGGGAUAACGUAGGGAAACUUACGCUAAUACCGCAUACGACCUACGGGUGAAAGCAGGGGAUCUUCGGACCUUGCGCGAUUGAAUGAGCCGAUGUCGGAUUAGCUAGUUGGCGGGGUAAAGGCCCACCAAGGCGACGAUCCGUAGCUGGUCUGAGAGGAUGAUCAGCCACACUGGAACUGAGACACGGUCCAGACUCCUACGGGAGGCAGCAGUGGGGAAUAUUGGACAAUGGGCGCAAGCCUGAUCCAGCCAUACCGCGUGGGUGAAGAAGGCCUUCGGGUUGUAAAGCCCUUUUGUUGGGAAAGAAAAGCAGCAGGUUAAUACCCCGCUGUUCUGACGGUACCCAAAGAACAAGCACCGGCUAACUUCGUG